rnacentral:tRNA from 1 species
GGGGCUAUAGCUCAGCUGGGAGAGCGCCUGCCUUGCACGCAGGAGGUCAGCGGUUCGAUCCCGCUCCUCCACCA